UACGUAGGGGGCGAGCGUUGUCCGAAGUUACUGGGCGUAAAGAGCGCGUAGGCUGGUCUUUAAGUGAGUGGUGAAAGGUUCGGGCUCAACCCGGACACUGCCUUUCAUACUGGGGACCUUGAGUGUGGGAGAGGCGAGUGGAAUGGUCGGUGUAGCGGUGAAAUGCGUAGAUAUCGAUCGGAACACCCAUGGCGAAGGCAGCUCGCUGGCCUAACACUGACGCUGAGGUGCGAAAGCGUGGGGAGCAAACAGG
rnacentral:rRNA from 1 species